rnacentral:rRNA from 1 species
AACGAACGCUGGCGGCAUGCCUAACACAUGCAAGUCGAACGAGACCUUCGGGUCUAGUGGCGCACGGGUGCGUAACGCGUGGGAACCUGCCUUUAGGUUCGGAAUAACUCAGAGAAAUUUGAGCUAAUACCGGAUAAUGUCUUCGGACCAAAGAUUUAUCGCCUUUAGAUGGGCCCGCGUUGGAUUAGCUAGUUGGUGGGGUAAAGCCUACCAAGGCGACGAUCCAUAGCUGGUCUGAGAGGAUGAUCAGCCACACUGGGACUGAGACACGGCCCAGACUCCUACGGGAGGCAGCAGUGGGGAAUAUUGGACAAUGGGCGAAAGCCUGAUCCAGCAAUGCCGCGUGAGUGAUGAAGGCCUUCGGG